UGAUGUACUGAGACUCCGAUUCCAACAGCUGUUUACGAAUUCCAGAACCAGAGUCCCAGUACACCAACCCA
rnacentral:pre_miRNA from 1 species